rnacentral:lncRNA from 1 species
CUUUUUCUCUGGAUGAAUCAGUAUCUUAUCAGGUAAGUUGAUGGAUGAAAUAAGUGUACAAGAAUUAAAAUGCUGUCCUGAACAACAAAACAAAUCUGCUAGUCGAGACAGAGAGUGGACUGAGAAUUUCAAAUUGGAGGAAGAAAGGCAAAAAGCAUCUAAUCCUCUGUAAACGAUUCUCUGAACCAUCAAAAGUCCAUUCAAUUCUUCUCCUUCUGUAGCAGUCACCGAACACAUAACCGACGAGAGUAUUUUGUACAUUCUUAGUAAUGAUAUACAAGCUUAUUUCUAUACAAUAUCUUCCUAAAAUAUAGGAACUGACCACUUCUAGAAAUAGGCAUCAAAUAAGUAGGAGAUAAUUUCGAUUCCUCCUACUCUCUUCACUAAAUCUACCUAAAUCUGUCCGCAUUCCUCUCAAAUUGGCUCAAAAUAUCUUGCAUCCUGAUCUUGCUCAUAAUAGUAUCAAGCUGUGCUUUUC